AAUAGAUACCCAGGUAGUCCACGCCGUAAACGUUGGGCGCUAGAUGUGGGGACCAUUCCACGGUUUCCGCGUCGUAGCUAACGCAUUAAGCGCCCCGCCUGGGGAGUACGGCCGCAAGGCUAAAACUCAAAGGAAUUGACGGGGGGCCCGCACAAGCGGCGGAGCAUGCGGAUUAAUUCGAUGCAACGCGAAGAACCUUACCAAGGCUUGACAUAUGCGAGAACGCUCUAGAAAUAGAGAACUCUUUGGACACUCGUAUACAGGUGGUGCAUGGUUGUCGUCAGCUCGUGUCGUGAGAUGUUGGGUUAAGUCCCGCAACGAGCGCAACCCUCGUCGCAUGUUGCCAGCACGUAAUGGUGGGAACUCAUGUGAGACUGCCGGGGUCAACUCGGAGGAAGGUGGGGAUGACGUCAAAUCAUCAUGCCCCUUAUGUCUUGGGCUUCACGCAUGCUACAAUGGCCGGUACAAAGGGCUGCGAAACCGCAAGGUGGAGCGAAUCCCAAAAAGCCGGUCUCAGUUCGGA
rnacentral:rRNA from 1 species